rnacentral:rRNA from 1 species
GGCAAACGGGUGCGGAACACGUACGUAACCUUCCUUUAAGUGGGAGAUAGCCCGAAGAAAUUCGGAUUAAUACCCCAUAAGAUUGUGGAGUGGCAUCACUCAGCAAUUAAAGAAUUUCGCUUAAAGAUGGGCGUGCGGCUGAUUAGGUAGUUGGUGAGGUAACGGCUCACCAAGCCAACGAUCAGUAACUGGCGUGAGAGCGCGACCAGUCACACGGGCACUGAGACACGGGCCCGACUCCUACGGGAGGCAGCAGUAAGGAAUAUUGGUCAAUGGACGCAAGUCUGAACCAGCCAUGCCGCGUGAAGGAUGAAGGUCCUCUGGAUUGUAAACUUCUUUUAUGUGGGAAGAAACCACUCUUUUUUAAGGGUGUUGACGGUACCAUAGGAAUAAGCACCGGCUAACUCCGUGCCAGCAGCCGCGGUAAUACGGAGGGUGCAAGCGUUAUCCGGAUUCACUGGGUUUAAAGGGUGCGUAGGCGGAUUAGUAAGUCCGUGGUGAAAUCUCCGAGCU